CUUUCUUGCCGGAAAGGCCACGAAUAGAGUUCGAGCAACAUGCCCUGAAAAUAGCCGUUGCGGAUAGAUUUUCAAAAUCCCAAAGGAUCUCUAAGCCAAGAUGAUCUCCCAAUUUUGAAAGUAGCCGUUGCUGCUGAUCGAGAAUUCAAAAUUCAAAAUUCCAGACACUCCGAAGGCAAAAACCAUUAACGGUAUAAAAUUUCCCUAAUAUUUCAUUCUCUCUCCAAUUCUUUCGCUCAGUUUCAAAAUUCCAGAUGUUCCAAGCAAAAAUAAUCUUCCAAUUUUGAAACUAGCCGUUGCUGCUGAUCGAAUUUCAAAUUUCAAAAUCUAGACGCUCCUAUUGUCCCCCAAAAAAAAAAAGAAAAAAAGAUCCAGAUGCUUUUAAGCCGAAAACCAAUUAUGUUUUUUGGAGUUCGAUGCAGAGGUUCAUUUGGGCCAUUCAACAUCCUGCAAGCGGAUAUUUUCUGGGAAUCAAUGAUCUUGUUACACCAUUUUUCUCUCUGUUUAGAGGAUGAUUCAACAGAUUUCUUCAGGACCGUUCAGAAUCCUGCAAGCUGGUAUAUUCAGGCAAUAACUGAUCUUGUUACAGAUUUCUUCAGGUAAUGUUGACUUCUUACUUGAUAUGUUCACAGAAUAAUGAUCCUGUUACACCAUUUUCAGUUGUUUUUAUGUCAUAAAGUACAUGGAAGGGAAUGUCAAUUGGUGCAUUUCUAAUCUUACCCCCAAAAAAAUCAAGGCUGAGGAGCUUUCAACAGAUUUCUUCAGGUAAUGGUUAUUUCUUACUUGAUAUUGUUGCACUAUUACACUAUUUGUAGUUGUUUUUUUGUCAGAGUACUUGGAAGGGAAUGUGCAAAAUUGGUUUACUACCAUUGUCAACUCCACAAAUUUUAGCAUCUUGCGAGAAUCCAUGUUCAGGGAAUAGAUGAUCCUGUUACUAGUGCCCCUGACGAGCUUUCAACAGAAUUCUUCAGGUAAUGGUGACUUCUUUCUCUUGGAGUUGUUUUUCUGUCAGAGUACUUGGAAGGCAAUGUGCAAAAUUGGUUUAUUUAUUUUCUAACUCCUGAAAUUAUAUCUAUAGUGGUUGAUGAGCUUUCAUCAGAUUUCGUCAGGUAAGUGAUAGACUUCUUUCUCUUUCAAUUGUGAAUAUUGAUUGGAAAAACGAUGAAAAAGCAUAUUUUCCUUCUUAAAUUAGAGCUCAAUGUUUAUUUAAAUUGUAAAUUUAUAUCUGUUUUGAUUGUUCAAGAACUGUACUGGAUAUCUCAUUCUUUCAGCGAGUACAAGUCCAGAAAUUCUUGGAGCGCAUGCUCCGUACAUGGUUUGUUAUUGAGGAACAGAUGAAUGGUUGUAAAUUUCCAUGGAUUGGAUUUUCUCUUUCUUGCUUUUAAAUUUUCUCUCAAUUGAUAUUAGGUCAUCUAUGACUUCUAUAGAUUUUCAGAUAUGGUCUGAAUAUAUUCAGUGAACAAAUAAUCUGAUACCUGAUUCAUUUUAGAUCCAAGAGUAACCAGCACUACCAAUGUCAACUCCACAAAUUUUAGCAUCUUGCAAGAAUCCAUGUUCAGGGAAUAAACGAUCUUGUUACUGGUGCCCCUGACAAGCUUUCAACAGAAUUCUUCAGAAUACUUUGAAGGGAGUGCACAAAAUUGGUCUAUUUCUGAAGUAACUCCAGAAAAAAUAUCUAACAUAGAGGCUGAUGAGCUUUCAACAGAUUUCUACAGAUUUGGGGUUUUGAGACAAUUCUUUCGUUAGGUCAAGCAUUUGGAAAGAAGUUGCCGGACAUGGCAUUCCCUCGAAUUCUUAAUUGGCAUAUUUUACAAGUGCCAAGUUUUGAGAAGGCUACUGAACUCUUCGAUCAUCGUGAUGUAUUCUUCCACUUAUAUAUUAUCCCGUUCAUGGCUUAAUGAAUGUAACUGAAUUUGAGCGUGCAUAUAUCGGCAAAAUUGCAUGGGUAUGUCAUGACAGUACUCCAAUACAAUGUUGCACCUGCUGUCCGAGACAAGCUACCACAUGCAAGUCAUGAUAAAAAAGAUGAAGGUGACAUUUACAAGAAGUGAAAGAAGUAAGAAACGAAAAGAGGCAUCUGUGGAAAUUAUGGGUAAAGGAGGGAGGCGGCGAGUGGGAGAUAAGCCGACAGACCAGCCUUCAUCAUCGACUGCAGGAGUUGCUGCUCAUGUUCAUGUUAAACCAUCGAUUCCAUCCCAACCUCCAACAUCUCCAUCCCAUGAUGAGGUACCUUUGAGAGAGAGAGAUUAAUUAUCCUUGAAGGCGAAGUGGCUAAUGUACGACAAGACGUCUGUUAAGGAUUUAAGAAUCGCCAUGCAUAGAGAGUUUGCAAGUUUGGACACCAAGCUUGAUAAGUUAAUGAAGCACCAAAGAAUGAGAGUUGGUGCUGACGGGUUGGGAGAUGGGAUGGAAGCGGACGUUGAAGAUGAUGAAAAUAAAGAAGAGUUUGGUCCCGAUGCGACCCCCGUUGAUAGACAGUCACGUCCAUCUGUUGUAGACGAUGCAGGACCAAGUGUUAAGAUUAUCGAAAAAGUGUCUCCAUCAAAGUUUCUUAUUGGGAGACGUGCAAAAAAGCUAGCAGCUGCUAAGCAAAGUAUAGAUA